AGCAUAUCAAUAAGCGGAGGAAAAGAAACUAACCAGGAUUCCCCUAGUAACGGCGAGUGAAGCGGGAACAGCCCAAAUUUUAAAUCGAUCAAAAGGUCGAGUUGUAAUUUGAAGAAUUGCUUUCCACGUCUUUAUCCGAUGAAAAGUCCCUUGGAAUAGGGCAUCACAGAGGGUGAUAAUCCCGUAUUUUAUCGUGAUUUUGACGUCGUGUGUAGUAAUUUCAAAGAGUCGAGUUGUUUGGGAUUGCAGCUCAAAACGGGUGGUAAAUUCCAUCUAAGGCUAAAUAACGGCAAGAGACCGAUAGCGAACAAGUACCGUGAGGGAAAGAUGAAAAGAACUUUGAAAAGAGAGUUAAACAGUACGUGAAAUUGUUGAAAGGGAGACGAUUGAGGCCAGUCAUCCCUGCGAGAAAUCAAUCAUUUGAUUAGGUUUUCGAAUUUGAUUAGUUGGUGCACUUUUUCGCCUGGCAGGUUAGCAUCAACUUUGAUUGUUGUAAAAUGGUGGUCGGAAUGUGACUCUUUUAGAGUGUUAUAGCCGAUUGCAGAUGCAACGAUUGGGGUUGAGGUUUGCGGCAAAUGCCUUUGGGCUACUUACCUUCCUUCUGAUCUGUUCACUUUGAAGUGACAGCUUGCUGAUAUUUUGAAGGGCGUUCAAUCAAUAGGGUAGAGUAUUGAUAAAUUUGCCAAGGAUGCUGACGUAAUGACCUUAAACGACCCGUCUUGAAACACGGACA
rnacentral:rRNA from 1 species